AAUCAACGCUGGCGGCGUGCCUCAGACAUGCAAGUCGAACGCGAAAUUUCCCUUCGGGGGAGAAAGUAGAGUGGCGCACGGGUGAGUAACACGUGGGUAAUUUACCUUCGGGUGGGGAAUAACAGUCGGAAACGACUGCUAAUACCGCAUGAUGCAGCGGCACCACAUGGUGACAGUUGUUAAAGGCGGGGGAUCGCAAGACCUCGCGCCUGAAGAGAACGCCCGCGGCAGAUUAGCUAGUUGGUAAGGUAAUGGCUUACCAAGGCAACGAUCUGUAGCCGGCCUGAGAGGGCGGUCGGCCACACUGACACUGAAUAAC
rnacentral:rRNA from 1 species